UAUGGCAAAUGUGAGAUGCAGUGUAUGGAAUGUCAAAUUUCUAGUAUGAGAAAUUAACGAUUUAAGUCCUUCUUAAAUGAGGCCAUUUACCCAUAGAGGGUGCCAGGCCCGUAUAACGUUAAUGAUUACUAGAUGGCAUUUCCAAAGAGUCGUGUUGCUUGAUAGUGCAGCACUAAGUGGGUGGUAAACUCCAUCUAAAACUAAAUAUAACCAUGAGACCGAUAGUAAACAAGUACCGUGAGGGAAAGUUGAAAAGAACUCUGAAUAGAGAGUUAAAUAGUACGUGAAACUGCUUAGAGGUUAAGCCCGAUGAACCUGAAUAUCCAUUAUAGAAAAUUCAUCAUUAUGAUUUUAAUAUUAAUAAUAUUAUAAUAAUGGUGUGCAUUUUUUCUAUAACGGACAUUGUAAUCUAUUAACAUAAAUAUAUUUAUCAUAAGAUCAAUGAUGCGUAAGUUUAUUCAAAUUAUUUUGCUUGCAAUUUAACAUAGAAUAAAUGCUCUUGAUUUGAUAAAGUGUUGAUAGAUUUAUUGUAUAUAGUGCUUAAAUAUUUAUAUUUUAUAAUAGCAUAUUAAUCAUUGAUUUUUAUGUUUAUUAUAUGCACUUAUAUGAUUAACAAUGCGAAAGAUUCAGGAUACCUUCGGGACCCGUCUUGAAACACGGACCAAGGAGUCUAACAUAUUUGCAAGUUAUUGGGUAUCAAAACCUAAUAGCGAAAUUAACAUAACUUUAAUGGGAUUAGUUUUUAGAUUAUUUAUAGUCUAUUAAUUCAAUCCCGGGGCGUUCUAUAUAGUUAUGUAUAAUAAUAUUUAUAUUAUUUAUACCUCUAACUAGAGCGUACCUUGAGCAUAUAUGCUGUGACCCGAAAGAUGGUGAACUAUACUUGAUCAGGUUGAAGUCAGGGGAAACCCUGAUGGAAGACCGAAACAGUUCUGAC
rnacentral:rRNA from 1 species